GCGCCCCUGAGGUAGCGGGUAGCGUGCUCGCCUUGCCAUGACGGAAGUGUCGGUUCGGCUCCCAUGGGGCGCU
rnacentral:tRNA from 1 species